rnacentral:misc_RNA from 1 species
GAUGAAGAACGUAGCGAAAUGCGAUAAGUAAUGUGAAUUGCAGAAUUCAGUGAAUCAUCGAAUCUUUGAACGCACAUUGCGCCCGGCAGCAAUCUGCCGGGCAUGCCUGUCCGAGCGUCAUUUCUUCCCUCGAGCGCGGCUAGCCCUACGGGGCCUGCCGUCGCCCGGUGUUGGGGCUCUACGGGUGGGGCUUGUCCCCCCCCGCAGUCCCCGAAAUGUAGUGGCGGUCCAGCCGCGGCGCCCCCUGCGUAGUAGAUCCUACAUCUCGCAUCGGGUCCCGGCGAAGGCCAGCCGUCGAACCUUUUAUUUCAUGGUUUGACCUCGGAUCAGGUAGGGUUACCCGCUGAACUUAAGCAUAUCAAUAAGCGGAGGA